rnacentral:rRNA from 1 species
AAACUUAAAGGAAUUGACGGGGCCCGCACAAGCGGUGGAGCAUGUGGUUUAAUUCGACGCAACGCGAAGAACCUUACCUAGGUUUGACAUCCCGGGGAGUCUCUUGAAAGAGAGAUGUGCCCUUCGGGGAGCCCGGAGACAGGUGCUGCAUGGCUGUCGUCAGCUCGCGUCGUGAGAUGUUGGGUUAAGUCCCGCAACGAGCGCAACCCUUAUCUUUAGUUACCAGCACUUCGGGUGGGGACUCUAGAGAUACUGCCCCGGUCAACGGGGAGGAAGGUGGGGAUGACGUCAAGUCCUCAUGGCCUUUAUGCCUAGGGCUACACACGUGCUACAAUGGGCGGUACAAAGGGUCGCGAUCCCGCGAGGGGGAGCCAAUCCCAAAAAGCCGUCCCAAGUUCGGAUUGGAGUCUGCAACUCGACUCCAUGAAGCUGGAAUCGCUAGUAAUCGCGGAUCAGCAUGCCGCGGUGAUUACGUUCCCGGGCCUU